GAUGAACUUUCCCUGAAGGUCGCAGGAAGACUACCUGCUUGAUAGGGUAGGGGUGUAAGCAUAGUAAUAUGUUUAGCUGACUACUACUAAUAGACCGUUUGGCUUAAUAUA
rnacentral:rRNA from 1 species